GGUUAUUCUUCAUGUACCUGUAUUGCUACAAUGAUAUCAGAAUCAACAGAUGCAGGAACUAUUAGUGUUGCUAUUGCUGUACCUAUCACUGGUCUAUUAACUGGACUCAUUACUGCAGUAAUUACUAGUAUCAUUUGUUUAAUAAUGAGGAAAAAGGGAAGGACUACCAACUCUAAAGAAACAGAUCUGUGUGGCCCUGUAUAUGAUUUACCAGUAGUAGAUAAUAAACAAUUAGAAGAAAAACACAUUGACGUUCAACGAAACACUGCAUAUGGACAAGCAUUUUGAUAAAAUAAUUUUAAAAUUGUGUACUUUUAAUAGCUCAUUUGUGGUUAUAUGUACAUCAUUAUAUGGCAACAAUAUAAUCAUCCAAUUCUA